GCUCGUAGUUGGAUUCCUGGCCUGGGGUAGCCGGUCCGCCUUGCAAAAGGUGCGCACUGUGCGGCCUCGGCCAUCCUUGAGAAGAGCUGUUCUGGCAUUCAGUUGUCGGGGCGGGGAUUCUCGACGUUUACUGUGAAAAAAUCAGAGUGUUCAAAGCAGGCUUACGCCUUGAAUACAUUAGCAUGGAAUAAUGAGAUAGGACCUUGGCGGUCUAUUUUGUUGGUUUGCACGCCGAGGUAAUGAUUAAAAGGGACGGUUGGGGUUCUUCGUAUUCAAUUGUCAGAGGUGAAAUUCUUGGAUU
rnacentral:rRNA from 1 species